rnacentral:lncRNA from 1 species
UUGGGUCCUGUGAAAGAGGGACUGGAUUGUGCUGGGGAUGGACUGGAUGGCCCUGUGGUGGCAUUGGAUGAUACAGUAGAGGUACCGGAUUGUACUGUGGUGGUGUCGGGCGAUGUGGUUGGGGCACCAGGCUAUACUGUGGUGGUGCCGGGUGGUACUGUGGUUGGGGCACCGGAUCAUACUGUGGUGAUGUCGGAUGGUACUGUGGAGGAGUAGGGUCGUACUAGGGUGGCUAAGGAUCCUCCUGCUGUAGUGGUG